rnacentral:rRNA from 1 species
AGUGAACGCUGGCGGUAGGCCUAACACAUGCAAGUCGAACGGAAGCACAGUAAGAGCUUGCUCUUACGGGUGGCGAGUGGCGGACGGGUGAGGAAUACAUCGGAAUCUACUUUUUCGUGGGGGAUAACGUAGGGAAACUUACGCUAAUACCGCAUACGACCUACGGGUGAAAGCAGGGGAUCUUCGGACCUUGCGCGACUGAAUGAGCCGAUGUCGGAUUAGCUAGUUGGCGGGGUAAAGGCCCACCAAGGCGACGAUCCGUAGCUGGUCUGAGAGGAUGAUCAGCCACACUGGAACUGAGACACGGUCCAGACUCCUACGGGAGGCAGCAGUGGGGAAUAUUGGACAAUGGGCGCAAGCCUGAUCCAGCCAUACCGCGUGGGUGAAGAAGGCCUUCGGGUUGUAAAGCCCUUUUGUUGGGAAAGAAAAGCAGCAGGUUAAUACCCCGCUGUUCUGACGGUACCCAAAGAAUAAGCACCGGCUAACUUCGUG